CUACAGCUACAUCUGUGGCAUAUGGAAGUUCCUGGGCUGGGGGUCAAGUUGGAGUUGCAGCUGUGACCUAUGUCACAGUCAUGGCAACACCGGAUCCAAGCCACAUCUGCAACCUAUGCUGCAGCUUGAAGUAACACCGGAUCCUUAACCCACUAAGGCCAGGGAUUGAACCUGAACCCUCACUCAGCUACUAGGAAAAGGAACAUCACAAAUUACGUAGCAUUUCCUCAAAGGCUGAGGUAGUUAACAUUCCCAUUUUACAGAGAAGUGGUCUGCCCAGGUUACCAUAGCAACAGAGUGGUCCAGUCUAGGCACCUGAUUGCCCGUGAUGGGCCGAGAAGUCUCCUGAACGUGUUAUACGUUCUCAUUCAUUGAGCCCUAGUCUUAACUCCAGGAGGCAGGUUCCAGCAUCAAUUUCCAGAUAAAACUGCAGCAGGAAACCUGGAGGCAGUUACGAUUGCCUGGUUAUAGAUAAGGAAACUGAAGCUUUCCUUCAGUUUCCUGAUUGGCUGAGGUAAGAGAACAAUUAAGUAUUAACUCAGUAGCUCCAGGACCUUGGCUAAUUUGAAUUCAGGCCAGGUUUUGAAGCCAGGCCAUCUGGCCCUAGAGCCUGUGCUCUCAGCCUACUGGUGACAAGCUGUUCUUCCUUGGAGCCAGAUGGCUUGAUUUUGCACAGAUGUCUUUUACCUGCUGUGCUACCCUGAAUAAGUUACUUAAAUGCUCUGUGCCUAAACUUCCUCCUCUGAAAAAUGGGGAGAGUAAUGGUUACCUACUUCAGAGUUAUGGAGCUGAUUAGCAUCUGAUGAUUCAGCACAUAGGAGACACUUAGAACAGUUUGGUACAGAAAGAAGGGCUCAAUUAGCUAAUGCGAUGAUUAAUCACAAAGCUAUAAAAUUUCCCAAAGCAUUUAAAGAAUGGUUUAUGUAAUAAAAGCUUGAGUCACAUUUAACCGUUCAAGAAUGUAUUCACUAGUAGAAAGCAAAGGAUACUUGUAUUUUCAAUCAGCUGGUUUCAAUCUAGAAUAAUGAUUUCCAAACCCUGAGGGGUCUGCCAAGAACCACCCCCCGCCCCCAUCAGGUGAAUUUCUGUUCGUGGUGGGGGACGAGCUGGAGGGGUUCAGACUUUAUGCAUUUAUUUAUUUUUUGUUUGCUUUUCAUGGCUGCACAGGCAGCACAUGGAGGCUCCCAGGCUAGGGGUCACAUCAGAGCUGUAGCUGCUGGCCUACACCACAGCCACAGCAACGUUGGGUCCAAGCCUUGUCUGCAACUACACUACACCUCGUGGCAACACCGGAUCCUCAACCCACUGAGCAAGGCCAGAGAUUGAACCCGCAUCAGGGAUAAUAGCGGGAUUCGUUAUCACUGAGCCACCAUGGGAACUCCAACUUCCUCCAUUUAGAUAUAAACGAAAAGCAGCUUGGGAACCAGUGGUCUGUCUAAAAGACUACGGCAGGAUCACACAGCUGCGUCUGCUUAUUACUAUACAUACACGAUUCCCUGCAAUUAUCAAGUGCAGGACCCCAGCUCCUCGGGUAUAAGCGUGGCAACUAUGACAUCACAGGGCACACUCAGAGGAGGCAGUUUGGGGCAACAUGACCCCCUUCGCCUUUUUCAUAUGCUGCUCCUGACCAAGUCAGGUUAUGGAGGGAAGUAAGAGCCCAAGAGAAGGGUUCGAAGGUCCAACGAAGUACUGAGGCUUCUGGGUAAAGACACGGCACAAAGUAGAACUUCAAGAGAAGAGAAGAACAAUCUAGCGUGAUGUGCAGACAAACUGGGAUGGAUCUAUGGAGGUGGCUGAGGUGGCUGCUACCGGACGGAAGCUAAGAGGACAAGGAGUGUGCUGAUGAUGCUGAGUCCACGCUGCUCUGUGUCUACACAAGGACGGUGGUGGGAAUAGAGAAAAGGUAUUGCUUUAAGAGGGGGAAAUCGGCAAGGCUUCAGGAGGGGAAAGAGUUAAGGAAGAAGGCACAAAAAGGAGCCUGGGUUCUUAAGCUUGGUUGCCUUGGAGAACAGUGGGCUCACCUCCAAAGCAGGUGCAAGAAAGAGAGGACUAACCUGGAUUUCAGGGGAUGUAUGAUUCGUGUUGGGGGUUGGGUCUGUGGACCUGGCGCUGCCACUAGAUGGUCACUUCCAUCUGCAGGCAAACCUCAUCUGAGUGCACAUCACUUUACUGAGCUUUGCAGAUACUGUGUUUUUGUUUUUAUAAUCUGAAGGUUUGUGGCAACCCUGCCUCAAGCAAGUCUAUCAGAGCCAUUUUUUCCAACAGC
rnacentral:lncRNA from 1 species